rnacentral:lncRNA from 1 species
CCAUGAAAUUAGAUUGAAUUAUGUGAAUGAUAAAAAAAUUGUUGUUAAACCUAUAAAAUUUGAUUGAAUUAUGUGAAUGAUGAAGAUUUUGUUGUUAAACCCAUAAAAUUUGAUUGAAUUAUGUGAAUGAUGAAGAUUUUAUCGUUAAAACCAUAAAAUUUGAUUGAAUUCUGGGGAUGAUGAAAAUGUUUAUGUUAAACCCAUGAAAUUUGAUUGAAUUGUGUGAAUGAUGAGAAUGUUGUUGUUAAACCCAUGAAAUUU